rnacentral:rRNA from 1 species
GAUGAACGCUAGCGGCAGGCCUAAUACAUGCAAGUCGAACGGUAGAUCGGGUAGCAAUACUUGAUUGAGAGUGACGUAAGGGUGCGUAACACGUAUGCAAUCUACCCUCAACAGGAGUAUAGCUCGGGGAAACUCGGAUUAACACUCCAUAACAUUACGAUGUGGCAUCACAUUGUGAUUAAAACUCCGGUGGUUGAGGAUGAGCAUGCGUCUGAUUAGUUAGUUGGAGGUGUAACGGACCCCCAAGACGAUGAUCAGUAGGGGAACUGAGAGGUUGAUCCCCCACACUGGCACUGAGAUACGGGCCAGACUCCUACGGGAGGCAGCAGUAGGGAAUAUUGGUCAAUGGGGUGAGAGCCUGAACCAGCCAUGCCGCGUGCAGGAAGACGGCCUUCUGGGUUGUAAACUGCUUUUAUCUGGGGAUAAAAAGCCCAUGCGUGGGACAUUGAAGGUACCAGAUGAAUAAGCACCGGCUAACUACGUCG